UUGUGUAAGUAUGCGGGUACCCGGCUUUCCCCAUCAGGGUUCAUCACUGGGGCCUGGUACUGCUCCCAGACAAGGCCCUGGGAAUCCGGGUCUUGCGCAUGGAGAACCCUCUGUCUCAGGCCCCUUGGCCACAAGAACCACAUCACCAUGUAAAGAAAUGAUAUUUCUGAACUUGCCCCUGGCAUGACCAGGAGGCUAAGGAUCAGGAUGCAGAGUGACGGUGGCAGACCCCAGAGCAAUGACACCAGGUGGGCUGUUCCCCACUGGCUUGCUGAGCCAGGUGACGUGGAGGGGCAGAGGAGAGGGGAGGCAGCCCAGCCCAGUUUCAAUCCAUCAAGAACGCAGGACUCCCCCCCCCUUUAUCUUCUCAAAGCGCAGUCAUUUUCUGCACCAAACCAUAUGCCAGCAAAGCUAUCGUCAAGAAAGACAAAGAACAGGAAGACAGGCCAGGAGUGGCUUUGCCAGCCUCAGUGAUGGAGGACAGAGUGACCCUUGGAUUUACCUGCAGGAGUGACUGACUGUGGCUUCAGCCACAGACCUCCCCCACGCAGCCUCUGAGAUGCAGAAUUCCUGAGCCGCACAGCAACGAGAGGCAGCCCUGGCUCAGUCCCUGCAGCCACGUGGCUUGUGACAAGGAUGCAUGCAGAAUACUAAACAUGACCCUGGGAGCUCCUGACACGGCCACCUGGCUGCAGCCCUGCCUCUUCUCGUCUGUUUCUCGCGGGUCUGUCACCGAACACACGUGGACAAGCCGGUGUCCAGAAACCACGGCUCUGUGCCGGCAGAUAGGAGUCGUCGUCAGCAAAUUAUUUUUGCAGGGACAAGAAAAUCGUUUUCGGCGGACACAACAUCUUUGUCGGUAUGUGGUGCUGAGGAUCGAACCUGGGCCGCACGCAUGCCAGGAAUAGCGACAAGCCAUCUAAUGUAAGGAUCGUGAACUAUUCAUAGAAAAUCAAAGUGCGCAGCCCGGCAGCCAGCCAUGUCUUGUGCUCCAGGUCUCGGAGCUCCAUCCCGCUGAGCUGCCAGACCCCACCAUUAGGCCGUCUGCGUUGGCCUUAGAGACUUCCCUCGGACAAAUCUCCUCCCACACCCCCAAGUGAUGCCACGGUAUGGUGGGGGGCAACUGUGCAGGCGGCGAAACCCAAACUGUUGGCUUCUUUGCAAAACACAAACCCAACCCACCCCCCCAACAAAACCAAGAGCAGAAGAUGAAGUGCUCUUCAUUCCACCCGAGGAAAGGAGGGAGAGCAGCCAGGGGCCCAGGAAACGGGGACAUCUGGGUGAAACAAGAUGACACCCGUGCACCCCUCACCUCGUCAACCUUCUGCCUCAGCGUCCUUCCCUCUGGUCCUAUCACUGCGCAAACCGAGGCAAUCUGUGAGUCUCCUCCAUCAGAUAAAAUCGACCAGGACAAAUGGCCGGCCUGGAAGUCCCCAAGGACACAUUGCAGGUGGCCCGAAGGUGGAUGAGCCCAGUAGGCAGAACUUUCUCAGUGGAUGCUCAGGGCACAUGGCUCCGACAGGAGGGCCCAGAGCGCCUUGUGACCACAAGGAUGUGGGGGUUGGACUGGCUGCUGCCUCUGCCUGGGAGCGCCGGGCUGUCCCUCAUUUACUGGCUGUUUCCCAGCUUUAGGUGUCAUCUGAGGAGUCACCUCCCAGCGAGGCCUUCCUUACCCGCCACCUAGAUUAACUGCUGUUCUUAUUCAUGCGUGAAUACAGAAACGGAGCCUCACCUGAGCUGCAGGUCUCUCAUCCGUGAUGAGGGCCACCCGCAUGGAGUCCCCAACGCGUCCCAGGAGCCUGUCAUCCUGCAGCUCUGGAGGCGCCCUGUGGAGCCAAACCAGGGAGCCCACCGAGCUGUCCUGAUGGGGAGGCUCCACGCGGGGCCCAGGGUAAGCCCUGGAGAAAGGGGAGCCACCCUGGCAUCUUACAGAAAACUUCAAGCCUGGAAAUCUACACAAAGAAAUUUACCAAGAGCCUCCAACAUUUGGUCCCAAGCUCACUGCAGCCCUCUGGACAGAUUCGAAAUACGAUUCGGUUCACAGAACUUUUCAUCUGGGCUCCCGCGUGAUAUUUGCAGUAAUCAUAAGUGGGUGUCAGCAGCACCCAAGGAAGGUAGGAAGGGUCUGGACUGGGACAUUCUCCCAAAGACACAGUCUCUGGUCCAGGGCAGGUGACGGCCCUCGGCUCCCAGAGCCACUCCCCUUCGCUAGCCACGGAGGCAGCCACGGCAGUCCACCAGGAGGGCCAUGACAGGCUGCUCCUCGUGACACUGGACGCAGACAGAAAUAACGUCCUCAGCCCUCAUCAGUGUCCCCAGCCAGAGGAGGAGGCCUCUGAGGAGUGAAGAAUGAGGAUAAUGAAAAUGGAAACGUCAGUGGCAAGUGUCAAACGCGGAGGGCCACCCGGGGGACAAGGGAGGGUCUAUUUCUCCCUAACAGGCAGCACCGGGUGGGGCGGGGCUGGAAGGGAGUUGGACCAUCCCUUGGAGGAAGAGGCAUUUUUCUGCACUUCCAUGUGGAAUGGCUUUUAAACUGCAUUU